rnacentral:rRNA from 1 species
AAAUUGAAGAGUUUGAUCAUGGCUCAGAUUGAACGCUGGCGGCAGGCCUAACACAUGCAAGUCGAACGGUAACAGGAAGCAGCUUGCUGCUUCGCUGACGAGUGGCGGACGGGUGAGUAAUGUCUGGGAAACUGCCUGAUGGAGGGGGAUAACUACUGGAAACGGUGGCUAAUACCGCAUAACGUCGCAAGACCAAAGAGGGGGACCUUCGGGCCUCUUGCCAUCAGAUGUGCCCAGAUGGGAUUAGCUUGUUGGUGAGGUAACGGCUCACCAAGGCGACGAUCCCUAGCUGGUCUGAGAGGAUGACCAGCCACACUGGAACUGAGACACGGUCCAGACUCCUACGGGAGGCAGCAGUGGGGAAUAUUGCACAAUGGGCGCAAGCCUGAUGCAGCCAUGCCGCGUGUAUGAAGAAGGCCUUCGGGUUGUAAAGUACUUUCAGCGGGGAGGAAGGUGUUGCGGUUAAUAACCGCAGCAAUUGA